ACGAACGCUGGCGGCGUGCUUAACACCUGCAAGUCGCACGGGCCCGCUCUCUUUUUUGGGGGUGGGUUGAGUGGCGAACGGGUGAGUAUCACGUGAGUAACCUGCCCCCUGCUCCUGGAUAACUGCUUGAAAGGGCGGCUAAUACGGGGUGUGCCGGCUGGUCCGCAUGGGCCUGGUCGGGAUAGUUUCAUCUUCGGGUGUUUCGGUGGGGGAUGGGCUCGCGGCCUAUCAGCUUGUUGGUGGGGUGAUGGCCCACCAAGGCGGUGACGGGUAGCCGGCCUGAGAGGGUGGGCGGCCACACUGGGACUGAGACACGGCCCAGACUCCUGCGGGAGGCAGCAGUGGGGGGUAUUGCACAAUGGACGGAAGCCUGAGGCAGCGACGUCGCGUGAGGGAUGGAGGCCUUCGGGUUGUGAACCUCUUUCUCCGGUGGUGAAGGCCCUGUCCGUUGCGGCGGGGUUGACGGUAGCCGGGUAUGAAGCGCCGGCUAACUACGUG
rnacentral:rRNA from 1 species